rnacentral:sRNA from 1 species
UCUCUCCGUACGGGGAAGGAUGAGAAGCUUCGACUAAGGUUCGAUUCGAGCGCAGCGAGAAAGCGUUGCCGCAGGCAACGACCCGAAGGGCGAAGCGCGCAGCGCUGAGUCAUCCUUCCCCCACCACCA